AUUGAACGCUGGCGGCAGGCCUAACACAUGCAAGUCGAACGAGUGGCGGACGGGUUAGUAAUGUCUGGGAAACUGCCUGAUGGAGGGGGAUCACUACUGGCAACGGUAGCUAAUACCGCAUAACAUAAGCUGUGCCCAGAUGGGCUUAGCUAGUUGGUGGGGUAACUGCUGACCAAGGCGACGAUCCCUAGCUGGUCUGAGAGGAUGACCAGUCACACUGUAACUGAGACACGGUCCAGACGCCGACGGGAGGCAGCAGUGGGGAAUAUUGGACAAUGGGCGCAAGCCGGAUGCAGCCAUGCCGAGUGUAUGAAGAAGGCCUUCGGGUUGUAAAGUACUUUCAGCGGGGAGGCGUUACCCGCAGAAGAAGCACCGGCUAACUUCGUGCCAGCAGCCGCGGUAAUUC
rnacentral:rRNA from 1 species